rnacentral:rRNA from 1 species
CCUACGGGUGGCUGCAGUGGGGAAUAUUGGACAAUGGGCGAAAGCCUGAUCCAGCCAUGCCGCGUGUGUGAAGAAGGCCUUCGGGUUGUAAAGCACUUUCAGUGGGGAAGAAAGCCUUGGGGCUAAUACCCUCGAGGAAGGACAUCACCCACAGAAGAAGCACCGGCUAACUCCGUGCCAGCAGCCGCGGUAAUACGGAGGGUGCGAGCGUUAAUCGGAAUUACUGGGCGUAAAGCGCGCGUAGGCGGUCUGAUAAGCCGGUUGUGAAAGCCCAGGGCUCAACCUGGGAACGGCAUCCGGAACUGUCAGGCUAGAGUGCAGGAGAGGAAGGUAGAAUUCCCGGUGUAGCGGUGAAAUGCGUAGAGAUCGGGAGGAAUACCAGUGGCGAAGGCGGCCUUCUGGACUGACACUGACGCUGAGGUGCGAAAGCGUGGGUAGCAAACAGGAUUAGAUACCCUAGUAGUC